rnacentral:sRNA from 1 species
UAGACGAAGAGGAUGCUCUAUAAUGUC